UACGAAGGGGGCUAGCGUUGCUCGGAAUCACUGGGCGUAAAGGGUGCGUAGGCGGGGCUUUAAGUCAGGGGUGAAAUCCUGGAGCUCAACUCCAGAACUGCCUUUGAUACUGAAGAUCUUGAGUUCGGGAGAGGUGAGUGGAACUGCGAGUGUAGAGGUGAAAUUCGUAGAUAUUCGCAAGAACACCAGUGGCGAAGGCGGCUGACUGGUCCGGAUCUGACGCUGAGGCGCGAAAGCGUGGGGAGCAAACAGG
rnacentral:rRNA from 1 species